GAAAUUGUAUUUUCAUUGUGUUUUUCUGAGGAAAUUCUCCAUGCCACUGUGUGUGACAGUACAAAAACUGUAAAUUAUUGUGUUAUUGUGUUUAGAACUUCAUGUAAUCAGUCAGGUAUAGUUUUGGAUUGAUACAGGCUAGAAUAGAUAUUAAGAAUCACUGACAAAAUAAGAUAAAGAAAUAUACCACUACACAACAAUAAAAAAGGCUUCUUUGACAUCAUUAUUUAAAAACAUAUGUUAAUUUUGCUGAUGUUUUUACAUGUACAUUCUCUCAUCUCUGCUUGUUUGAAUUUUCUUCUUCUUACCACUUUUUUACAUAAAAAAAUAACUUUACCUUUUUUUUGGAGAAAAAAGGGCGUCUCCCUGAAAAAAGGUUUUAUCGUAAAAAUAUCGAUGCGUGUGUAGUUUCUGUCAAGUGUGGCGUAUACGCAGUAAAACGUCAGUCUUUUUUUUGAAGGUUGUCAGUAAGGCGAUUGGACUUUUGUAACAUCCUGAUCACUUUGCUGCAGUUGAUUUUAUAAUUGAUGGUCUCGUGAGAGUUAGAAAAAUAAUUAUGGACGAUGAUGGACAACCUGGAGUGGAUUUAAAUCCCAUGGAACCAGACCCAGGUAAAAUGUUCAUCGGAGGAUUGCACAGCCAAACAACUGCAGACAGUUUACAAAGAUAUUUCGAACAGUUUGGAGAAGUCAAAGAGUGUGUUGUAAUGCGCGAUGCCGUAACUAAACGAUCAAGAGGUUUCGGCUUUGUUAGAUUUGUGGAUGCAAGUACAGUGGAGCUGGUUCAAAAUGCUUCCCCACAUAAUGUAGAUGGAAAAAAGAUCGACCCUAAACGCGCCAUUCCGAAAAGACCACCUCCUGGCCAAAAUCAGUUUAAAAAAGUGUUUGUUGGUGGUUUGCCUCCAGAUAUCAAUGCACAAGAGCUGACAGAAUAUUUUGAAGCUUUCGGCAAGGUUACUGAAGUUUUGUUGAUGCAUGAUAAAAAUACUAAAAGAUUAAGAGGUUUUGGUUUCAUAACAUUUGAAUCAGAUGCUUCUGGAAAGCAUGUAUGUGAAACAGGAUUUCACAAGCUGAAAGGCAAAAAUGUUGAAUGUAAAAGAGCCCAACCAAAAGAAGCAAUGAUGCUGCAGGGAAAAGGACGUGGUUUCGUAGUCAAUCUUGCUCCGUUUCCAUUUGGAAGGGGAUAUCCCAAUGGAUUAGGAACUAGUCCAGUUGGAUAUGGAUUUACAGAUUGGACUGUAAACCCUCAGCUAUAUCAACAAUUAGCAAAUGUUAUGCAAUAUAGUCGAGGCCGAGGUGGCUUCGCUAACAAUUACGCAUCACAAGGCUUUUUAAACAUGCCUGAUCAUAGACGCUCGUACACAGAAUAUGGUAACGUCCAAACAGCAGCUAACGCUGUCCUAACGCAAGAGCCUACUAGUGUGACUGCAUCUAAUGUUGUUUCAGCUGAUAACAUUCAUGCAGAAUAUGAUCAGCACAAUGUCUACAGUAACGUUCAGCUAAAUCAGUAUGGUUCUCAACAAAACCCAGUUGUCACACCUGCGUCGCCUUUAACGCAAGCAUUCACACAAACCACUUCACCGCGUCUUGAUGUCAGUUACAUGAAUGCGUCAUCUCGUACAGGAAUUGCACCUGAACAUUUAUUUCACAAUGGUCACACAGCUGCGUCACCGCAGGGGCCGUUUGGCCAUGGGAUGUCGCAGAUAGCAUUGCGACAUUGAAGAAUCGCAUACAGCCUUUCCUUGAGAGACAGCAUGUGUCGGCUUUCCUUGAUGUUGCAAGAUAUUGGCAAGCUAUGGCGCCUACCUGGCGGUAGUAAAAUGGUUGUUUUUAAUCAAAAUUAUUCGUGUUAGUGCUGUGUAUGUACAUGUAAACUUCAAAGAAGAACUAUUUUAUGACAAACUGUUUUUAAAGCUCCUGUUUCCUCUACUCAAAGGUGGAGAGCUCGUAAAGACUUUGAUAUAUAUGAUUGACUGUUAUUUUAAUUAAAUACUACUAUUUUAACUAUUUUAUUUUAUUUUAUUUUGGAAUUUCAUUAAACUUUUUUUUUAACAAGUUGGCCAGCCAACUUAAUGUCAUUGAAAAACGUUUAAAUCUGGAGGAGAACAGGGAAUUAGUAUUAAAAAACCAGGUGAGAUGAGAAUACUAGCGUCUAAUCUACUGGUGCUGAUGUAAAUCUGGAGUGUUAAGAAACUCAGGCUGUGUCCUGGGUAAAAACAGCAAGAAAGAGACUAAUCCAUUCCAGGGAUUGGAUCGUCACUCUGUUUGAGAAGAAAAAGCUUUUAACUGUUUAACUUAGAACACGAUAAAAAAAACUUCGAAUAUUUGGUUUUUAUUGGACCUACGAAAUUUUACGGAAUUUAUGAGAAAAUAAAAGAUGUUCUUAAACAGCCUACGUAUUAUGAAAGAAUGUGGUAGAAUAAUUAAAACCAAAAAAACUUUUCAUGGUUUGGUCUCGCUAGUAAAGACCUUAAACAGAGCCUUGCAUUCAAGUUGUUCGUUGCUAAGGUAAAAUCAGGUUAUGUUGUUAUGCUGUGAAGUUUUGUUCCUUCACAAACCAUUCACAAGUUUUUAAUAUGUUUUUCCCUCCAGUUGUUGUUAUUGUUGUGACGUCAUGUAGAUAGAAAAUUCAGUGACAUCAAAUGUCAGUAUAGUUUUUUUUUUUUUUUACAGAAGUAACCGUGCAUGUCGUUUGUGUUUCUUGGAAACACCAAAGCUACACCAGUGAUAAUUUUUUCUUUCAAUUUUUUUAAAUUCGAGCGUUUAACAAAAUAUAAUUUGUCAAUAUUAGUGGCUGUUGAAACUGUUACAGCUUUUAAUGCAUGCAUGGUACGACUGUAGGUACCCGUGGAACCACAUCGCUAUUCGAGUAUAAAGUCAAGCUGACAAUUGUUCUGCAUGUAAUGCCACUAGUUUCUACUAAAAUGUUUUACUAGUGCGGAUAUAGAUGCGGUUUCACUUCUUAUGUUUAGAGUAAAUUAUGUUUGGUCCCUGUGAACUUGUGGCGUUGUACGAAUACAAAAUUUAUUAAAACAAGACGGCUAAUAUUUUAAACCUAUAACUAAUUUUUAUAUUUUAACCACUUGAAAAAAAUUGAAAAUGCUUCGCUGUGGUGUGUGUUACUAGCUUUUUAAAGAAUGAGUAGAUGAAAUAACGCGACUGUAAAGAGGGUUACAAUCGGAAUAAAGGUUUUUACGAAGAUUAAUUUUAAUAACGAUAGGAUAAUUUUUAUUUUUCACCGUUAGACGGAGCGAUCUACUAACGAACAUUUUAACCAUUUCAGUAAUGUUUAGGUUAUUUUUGAAAAUCAUCUCAAUAUUUGUUAGUUACGACGUAAUAUUUCAUGUUGUAUGUUCUAUCAUGAUACAAUUCCAGUUAAGACCA